GAUGAACGCUGGCGGCGUGCCUAAUACAUGCAAGUCGAGCGAACAGACGAGGAGCUUGCUCCUCUGACGUUAGCGGCGGACGGGUGAGUAACACGUGGAUAACCUACCUAUAAGACUGGGAUAACUUCGGGAAACCGGAGCUAAUACCGGAUAAUAUAUUGAACCGCAUGGUUCAAUAGUGAAAGACGGUUUUGCUGUCACUUAUAGAUGGAUCCGCGCCGCAUUAGCUAGUUGGUAAGGUAACGGCUUACCAAGGCAACGAUGCGUAGCCGACCUGAGAGGGUGAUCGGCCACACUGGAACUGAGACACGGUCCAGACCCCUACGGGAGGCAGCAGUAGGGAAUCUUCCGCAAUGGGCGAAAGCUUGACGGAGCAACGCCGCGUGAGUGAUGAAGGUCUUCGGAUCGUAAAACUCUGUUAUUAGGGAAGAACAAAUGUGUAAGUAACUGUGCACGUCUUGACGGUACCUAAUCAGAAAGCCACGGCUAACUACGUG
rnacentral:rRNA from 1 species